ACAACGAAACAACAAAAUAUUUUUGCCGUAUGACAGAAAGAGUGGAUUUGAAUUAUUUUCAUCUUUCUUCUCUUGCGCACGGUGAGAAACAAAAACAAAAUUUCUUUUACUCCGCGGACCGCGGUUUUUUCGCAACUAAUCACAUUGAUCCUGCUAUUGAUCCUUUGUAUAACUCGAAAUACGCCAUCGAUAUGCUCCAGCUUUGCCAAACCUGGAACAUCAAACAAAUGUGCAAAGAUGGUGCUUCCACUGGAACUCUUGCUGAUUACUGACGUGCAAAGUGGAGCAACUCGAUUUCAUCGGAUUAGGAGAUUCGAAGAUUUCUGGGAAAUCAAAUCCAACAGGCCAUGGUAGACGGAUUCAAAAUUAUGUUUAAAUGACGCUAAACCGGAUACGAUAAGCGCACUAAAUCGCAGUGGGACGGAGAAACUCCGUUGCAUAAAAAUGCCUAGCCAACGUGAUUGUAUUGUCAUUGCUGGGUGCGGCUGGGCUAUCUCACCGGCAGAUAAAUGGCAACUAUAUUCGCAGUUUCUACAUGCCACGAAACGCAUCCUGACGAGUGAAGAUGAUCGCUUUGGGCGAGUUUUAAGAGCUCCUAAAUUAAGAAAGAAGUAGAUUGAAAUUAUGAAAUAAAAAGGAUAA